UACCGAGUGAGGGCCCUCUGGGUCCACCUCCCACCCAUGUUUAUUGUACCUUGUUGCUUCGGCGGGCCCGCCUCACGGCCGCCGGGGGGCUUCUGCCCUCUGGCCCGCGCCCGCCGAAGACACCAUUGAACACUGUCUGAAGAUUGCAGUCUGAGCAAUUAGCUAAAUAAGUUAAAACUUUCAACAACGGAUCUCUUGGUUCCGGCAUCGAUGAAGAACGCAGCGAAAUGCGAUACGUAAUGUGAAUUGCAGAAUUCAGUGAAUCAUCGAGUCUUUGAACGCACAUUGCGCCCCUUGGUAUUCCGGGGGGCAUGCCUGUCCGAGCGUCAUUGCUGCCCUCAAGCACGGCUUGUGUGUUGGGCCCCGUCCUCCUUCCCGGGGGACGGGCCCGAAAGGCAGCGGCGGCACCGCGUCCGGUCCUCGAGCGUAUGGGGCUUUGUCACCCGCUCUUGUAGGCCCGGCCGGCGCUUGCCGACAACCAUCAAUCUUUUUUCAGGUUGACCUCGGAUCAGGUAGGGAUACCCGCUGAACUUAAGCAUAUC
rnacentral:rRNA from 1 species